GGGGGCGAAAGUCUUGACGAAAGCUCUUUUAGAAACAAGCAAACCGAGCCACCCUCAAGGCUCGUAAAUCUUAGAGGGGCAAAAAUAAGUGCCAACUUAUUUCAAAAACCUGCUUUAGCUUUCGCUUAGCAGCAUCCGAACGGUUGAUUCUCGAUGGGCCGCUAGGGUGUUAUAUUUAUCGAGAUAGAUAACUCUAGUGCCUGGAGAGCUAUCAAAAACAAAGGCAAAGAACGAAAGGGUUUUGCCAGAUUUUAUACUUUUCGUUCCAAAACAAACCUGGCUAAGUUUGUAGAUUUAUUUCUGAAUUAAUUUUCGGACGAGGGUUCAACCCCUCCGCCUCCACUA
rfam:Parcubacteria bacterium GW2011_GWC1_38_6 TS98_C0050, whole genome shotgun sequence.